rnacentral:rRNA from 1 species
CAGUAGCCGCGGUAAAACGAGGGGGGCAAGCGUUGUUCGGAAUUAUUGGGCGUAAAGGGCGCGUAGGCGGUUUGGCAAGUUUGGUGUGAAAUCUUCGGGCUCAACUCGAAGUCUGCACCGAAAACUGCCGGGCUUGAGUAUGGGAGAGGUGAGUGGAAUUUCCGGUGUAGCGGUGAAAUGCGUAGAUAUCGGAAGGAACACCUGUGGCGAAAGCGGCUCACUGGACCAUUACUGACGCUGAGGCGCGAAAGCUAGGGGAGCAAACAGGAUUAGAUACCCGCGUAGUCCCUGUCUCUUAUAC